rnacentral:tRNA from 1 species
GGCCCCUUCGUCUAGCGGUUAGGACGUAUGGUUCUCAGCCAUAAAACAGGGGUUCGAUUCCCCUAGGGGCUACCA